GUCAGUGUGACAUCACAAUUGUGGGAAAUGCCUCUACUCAUAUUUCUGAAUCCUUCCUCAAGUUCCAUGAUAUCAAGCAUGAACAGUUAAUUGUUAAAAUUAUAGAGGAACCACAUAUCUAGGUAAAAAAGAAAACUGAAAUACUCAGUGCCUCCCAAGACAAUGGAUAACAUACAACAGUAGUGCCUAUGGACUAGCAGUAUAUUCGAUGUGAAUCCAGGCCAUGUACUUGUACAGAAAAUAAAAAUUUCAUGCAAAAUGA